rnacentral:rRNA from 1 species
AGUGAACGCUGGCGGUAGGCCUAACACAUGCAAGUCGAACGGCAGCACAGUAAGAGCUUGCUCUUACGGGUGGCGAGUGGCGGACGGGUGAGGAAUACAUCGGAAUCUACUUUUUCGUGGGGGAUAACGUAGGGAAACUUACGCUAAUACCGCAUACGACCUACGGGUGAAAGCAGGGGAUCUUCGGACCUUGCGCGAUUGAAUGAGCCGAUGUCGGAUUAGCUAGUUGGCGGGGUAAAGGCCCACCAAGGCGACGAUCCGUAGCUCGUCUGAGAGGAUGAUCAGCCACACUGGAACUGAGACACGGUCCAGACGCCUACGGGAGGCAGCAGUGGGGAAUAUUAGACAAUGGGCGCAAGCCUGAUCCAGCCAUACCGCGUGGGUGAAGAAGGCCUUCGGGUUGUAAAGCCCUUUUGUUGGGAAAGAAAAGCAGCAGGUUAAUACCCCGCUGUUCUGACGGUACCCAAAGAAUAAGCACCGGCUAACUUCGUG